UACUAGUCAACCCUCCUGAUCAGAGCCUUUCCUAAAUAGUGAAAGGUUCAAAAAGUUCCCUGUACAUCGAACCAUGCCUGUCCUCUGUUCCACAUGUCUUCAGUCCGUUCUGGGCCCCAUGACUCAGACACUAGUUCUACCAAGGCUCAUUAGAGAGUGCUUCAGAGGAUGGCUGAAUUCACAAAACGUGGAGAAGACCGAGAGGGAGAAGUUGGCCGGUUACUACAUUUCACAAAAAAUACAGGACCUUGUGAAAAACGGAAAGAAACAAUUGAAGGAAACUGCUUAAAAAUAUGAAGUAAUGGGUGUUUUGAAAAUGUUUUCAAAUGUGUGUUAAUGUUCAUUGUG